AAACCGAUGGCUAAGGCACCUCCUGCUAGCUCCAAGCUCCCUAGCCUUCCCAUGCACGCUACUGAAAUCAUGUUUUUUAGGUACGUUAAUAUACCCAUAACCAAUAUGGGAAAUCCAAUGUCGAGUACAUUCUUGAGUUCCUCCACCACCUGGCAAUAAAAAAAAAUAAUUUGUCAGAGUUAAGACACAAGACGAAAUACUCUGAAAUUUUUGAAGAUUUUCUUGUUCUUACCUCUAUCAUUGUCAGGUUCUUUUUGGUAUGCCCUGCUGCCAUCUUUUUUUCUUUUUCCUAUUUGCUUUUUUUUUUCUUUUUUUUUUCUCCACUCUUUGUUUUGUUGCGUUUUAUGUGACAGGUAUGAUCUUACAGGUCACACACUUCAACAUGCAUCUUCGCUCCCUGCACUGAAGUAGAGUGAGAGUGGCAAUUUACAGGACAGGAGGGAGAUUUAUAGUGGCCGGAUGUGGUUGGUUCUCAAAUUUGAAUUUAUAUUUUUUUUUCUUUAAUCUUUUGAUUGGACAAUUUUUUUAAUUUUAAGAUGAGAAAUUAUAGUGAUUUUAUGCUCUAACCUCUUACAAUUUAAGGCUUCUCAAACUUUAAUUUGUCAUUUUGCCAAAUAUAAGAGAACAUAUCUACUUUCUCUACUGUGAGAAUCUUGCAGAAAGUAACACUACCUAAAUCUAUGAUUUAUUUCCACAUGGAUGUUUUAUAUGUUUGUAGCUCUUUUAUCUCCACUACCUUGGCCAAUUUCUGCUGGCCGAAUUAGUUUUAAUAUUUGCAUGAGCUGUUUUAUCUUAUGCUCAGGGUUAUUUUCCGAUUAACACGUUUCACCUCAAAUCUAUGAUUUCAUUCUUCCUUGACGGUUGUUAGCGGAAAGGUUGCCCAAAUUUGAUUUUGCACUAUUUUUCUUCAACUGUUUUUAAUUUGAUUGUUUUUAGUUGCCGAAGUGCUCGUUUAUUUUACUGUUUACCAUUUACCGGUUACCUUAAUGGCUGAUAUAUCAAGUCGUUUUAUAACCGUGAUGGCUGAUAUCUAUCUGAUAGAAAAAUAUCUUUGUCAUGCCUUUGUCAAGUUGCCUUAAAUAAUCUAUUUAUAGUGAUGGAAAGGAGUGGUUCGGGUCUAUGUCACAUUUUAGCUAGUGUUUCAGCAAAACGGAGACCCUUGAUUGUAUGCUUACCUGAGAGUAUGUGUCCAAGAACCUUGGGGAAACCUUCUUUCUAGUCAACUCUAGCACGUACCUUCUCCAGUAAAAUUUCUGCAAGAAGCCUUCUUUCCGUAAAUGUUGUUUGUUUCUUCUUUUGCUAGUUAGGUUCAGUUUAUGAAAGCACACACACACACACGCGCACACACACACACACAACUAGACGCUAUUUGCCUCUCACCCACUUUUGCAUCAUCUAUUACCGUACCUUAUGCAGUGAAAAACAUUUGGACAUGCUACCCUGGAGUUAGUUAUUUUUGGAGUUAUGUUUGCAAGUUGUCAUCGAAUACCAUUGUCUCUAUCAAGAUAUGCAUGUGAUAGGCCAUCAUCUAUGUGCAUCCAUGCAUGUUCAUAAAGGACUUUAUGUGCAUAUGUAUCACAUAAAUGUUUGUCGUUUCAUGUAUUCUGAAUUUUUUUUGGCAUUUUGUUAAAAAAAAAAGACUCCUGAUUGUGUUACUACAAAAAGCUAUCUGCAUGUUUCUGGCGUUUGCCAUUUUGUCUUGACAGUUUUCACGAUGAAAAAUUCAAUUUGUGACCAUGAAUUUCUUUCGUUCCCAUUUCUAAUGUCAAAAAUCAUCAUAUCCCCGAAAAAUCAUUAUCUUGAUUUUUAGUACCAGGUUACAUACGUCCGUGUUUGUGAGUCAUUAGUUGAUGAGAAGUCUGAUGGAAAUAAUAUUGUCAUGCUCGUAUGGAACCAUGCAUGUGCAAUAUCUGUUGCACCAAACGAGUCUCUAAUCAAGCCGUCUUUGUAAUUAUUAUCCCGUAGGCAAAUUGUGUUUAAAGCAUUAACUUUUCUUCUCACCAUUCAAAGAUGGGAUAUUACACCUUCCACACUCAUAUCCCAACCCAAAGGCGGUACGGUUUGUAAGAAAAGAAAGUGCUAUCCUUAAAUUGUCACAUCUCUUUUGCUAUUUGCUGAAAUGAUUUAUUUUGGUCCCAAAAGUCUCAGGCAACGUAUCAAAUAACCAAAUAACCGACAUGCUUCAUAUUCGCCAUAGUAUUUUUUUUCCCACAUCAGUUGAUUGAGAAAAGGCCUCCUAACCUUACGGAACUUCUCUUACACAAACCGUUAUGAAAUUCUCUUCUUCAAACACGUAACUUUCUUGAUCUAUUGCAGUUAAUGUGCCUUCAAUUUGUGAAAAAUAAUUAUAAGUUUGCACUAACGAAUAACUAAUUUUCUGCAGGUUUAAGAUUAGACGAGGACAAAAAUACCUAGUUAGAUACUAAAAUGCUAUGAAGAGAUCUCGAGGAUCUUAGUGU
rnacentral:lncRNA from 1 species